AUGGGGAAAAACGAACCUCUAAAUUAUUCUCUGAAAAAUUCCUAUGAAACUCUCAAGAACACAAUUCUUCAAGCAUCUUUAUCUUCAAUUUUCAAGGUUCUCUUCAACCAUCAUCAUCUUCCUCGUCGCAUAUCAACCUUCAACAAAAUUCACUCUCAUCUCUCUGAUUUCUCCUUACGAAUUCAUAACCACAACUACAACAAUCUUCAUCACCAAUUGCUCCUCCUCCAACCUUCAUCCUCAGCACCUUGA